rnacentral:rRNA from 1 species
AUACGGAGGGUGCAAGCGUUAUUCGGAAUCACUGGGCGUAAAGGACGCGUAGGCGGGUUGGCAAGUCAGAUGUGAACUCCUACAGCUUAACUGUAGAACUGCAUUUGAAACUGCUAACCUAGAGUAUGGGAGGGGGAGAUGGAAUUAGUGGUGUAGGGGUAAAAUCCGUAGAUAUCACUAGGAAUACCGAAAGCGAAGGCGAUCUCCUGGAACAUAACUGACGCUAAGGCGUGAAAGCGUGGGGAGCAAACAGGAUUAGAUACCCUAGUAGUCC